rnacentral:lncRNA from 1 species
UCCAUUCCUUUCUUCAAGUUAACACUCCCCCUCAAGCUUGACUUUAGCUGAUCCUAAGUCAAGCUUGGAACCUUGAAGAACUUCCUCAUUAAAAACCUCACCAAGGAAAACCCUUUGGGACAAAACCUUGAUGAGGGAAAAAGAGUAAAGCCUCCAAGGCCUAGGGAUUGGCCAGUGAGUCUUUGUGCCUUACCAGCAAUGUAAGGGACACAAAGACUCUGGAUCAUGGCCUCUUCUUGUGAUGCAAUGUUGAUCAUCACUUCAUUGCACACCACCAACACUUCUUGGAACUCUUCUUUGGACCGGCCUGAGUCUUCCCUUCUCUCGUGGCUUCUUGCCAUCUCCAUCAGGUAAGACACGCCUAGCUCCUGCUCAUUGAGUAUCCAAGUACCUGAUACAACAUUCCACAAGUGUAUCAGUCCUCAAGAGAUAAACCUAUCAUGUAUAUAUUUAAAGAGUUAAGAUCAGGUUUACUCCCUUGUUUAGAUGGUGAGGAGUGGCUGCUCUGAACCGCCACUUGAAUCCUCACUUGCUGAGCUUAACAGCUUCUCCUUUCAUCACACAAGCUCACUAACACUCCCCCUCAAGCUUGAGACCGAGUAUAGGGAAGGUCCAAGCUUGAAGGUGAGCGCAUACUAAGCUUCAUGAACAACCUUGUGGGAACACCUCCAUCUUCUUCAGACUUGAUGCUUACUUCCCCACUUAACCACCAUUGCACUGAGGAGAUACCUCAGCUUACUCUCCAAGUACUUCUCAUUAGAAGCUCAUUGAGUUGCUUUCUUCUUCACUCUACUUCGGCUGCAUCUACACAUGAUCAGCUUGCAAUGGCCUUGAGGAACCAGGUCAUUGAGCUUAGAGGAUCUUCUGGUAGCUCACUUGAAUCCCCACCUCAAGCUUGACUCAGUAUAGGUGCAAGCUUGAAGUGAGCCUCAAUGAGACUUCAAACCGGGAGCGCAUCACUGCCUACAGCUGCGCUUAAGCCAACCGAUCUGCCUUUGCCUUCAGCUCCAAUGCCUUCAGGUCAUCAGUCUCCCCAAGACUUAGGUGAUGACCUUUACAUGUGUGUCUCCAUGAACCAGGAGCACAUCACUAUCACUAGCUGCGCUAUCUUAACCGGCCAUACACACAAGUCUUUCUCCAUUGCUUUAUCAAUGGCAAAGUCUUCCUCUUCUACUCGGAUUAGUGAUGGACAAAGAACACUCCUCAUGUACCUGAAACAUCACUCAAACUCCAGCAAAGAUAAGACACUAAGGUAUUGGUAUCAAUCCUUGACACACCAUCAAGGUUGAUCACCAAUAUCACAAGCAUUGCAACAGAUUACACAAGACACAUUCAAGUUCUAAUCUUUGCAAGCAAUCUCCCUAAGUAUAUGCAAGAUCUAAACAGAUUCAAUACAAGUUACUUAGGCCAUUUUAACUUCUG